rnacentral:tRNA from 1 species
UCCCUCGUGGCUCAGUUGGCUAGAGCGUUGUAAGUAGUCGGAUCCAAAAGAGGUUCCACAACCGAAGUACUAACAAUCAUGGUCAGGGACUGUUAAUCCAAAGGUCGGAAGUUCAAGCCUUCCCGGGGGAG